rnacentral:rRNA from 1 species
UACAGAGGGGGCAAGCGUUAUUCGGAAUUAUUGGGCGUAAAGGGCGCGUAGGCGGCCUGGCAAGUGGAAGGUGAAAUCCCUCGGCUUAACCGAGGAACUGCCCUCCAAACUGCUUGGCUUGAGUCCGGGAGAGGUGAGUGGAAUUCCCAGUGUAGCGGUGAAAUGCGUAGAUAUCAGGAGGAACACCGGUGGCGAAGGCGGGUCUCUGGGCAGUAACUGACGCUGAGGAGCGAAAGCGUGGGGAGCGAACAGG